rnacentral:rRNA from 1 species
UACGUAGGGGGCAAGCGUUGUCCGGAUUUAUUGGGCGUAAAGAGCGUGUAGGCGGCUUGGUAGGUCCGCUGUGAAAACUCGAGGCUCAACCUCGAGAUGUCGGCGGAAACCCCCUGGCUAGAGUCCGGGAGAGGAGAGUGGAAUUCCUGGUGUAGCGGUGAAAUGCGCAGAUAUCAGGAAGAACACCCGUGGCGAAAGCGGCUCUCUGGAACGGUACUGACGCUGAGACGCGAAAGCGUGGGGAGCGAACAGG